rnacentral:rRNA from 1 species
GAUGAACGCUAGCGGUAGGCCUAACACAUGCAAGCCGAGCGGCAGAGCUUCAUCGGAUACUUGAUAGCGGCGCACGGUUGCGUAACACGUGUGCAACCUACCUUUAUCUGGGUGAUAGCCUUUCGAAAGGAAGAUUAAUACCCCAUAAUAUAAUUAUUGGCAUCAAUUAUUAUUGAAAACUCCUGUGGCCAUGGAUGGGCACGCGCAAGAUUGGAUAGUUGGUGAGGUGACGGCGCACCAAGUCAACGAUCUUUAGGGGUCCUGAGAGGGAGAUCCCCCACACUGGUACUGCGGCACAGACCAGACUCCUACGCGAGGCAGCAGUAAAGUAGAUUGAGCGAUGGAUGAGGAUCUGAUCCUGCCAUCCCGCGUGAAGAAUGACGGUCCUAUGGAUUGUAAACUUCUUUUGUACAAAGGUAGCCCUACCCUCGUGAGGGUAGCUGACGGUACUGAACGAAUAAGCACCGGCUAACUCCGUG